GAAUUAAACUCUGAUCCUGUUCCCUGUCUUCUCAGUAUCUCACCAACCUUUAUUUCUUCUUUUCUGGGUUACCGAUUUUCAGCCGAUUUGUUUUCUACCAUUUUGUUUCUGACAGUGUCACCUGCAUCUGUGGUUCUCCUGCCUCUCUGCUCUUUGGCUGCUCCCCUUUCCCCCGGUGUCUCCUUACAUGGAGGAUAUAACCAAGAAAUCCGCCUUUGGUCUUCUUGAGGUUUUGCUUUGUCAUGCCUUCGUGGAGUACUUCAUUUACUUCUCUCCAGAUUUCUCUUUUACUGAGGCACCCUUCCCAUCAAUUGCAAACUGUCAACCAAGUUUACACAAUAUUGCCUUCCUUCCAUCACUGAGUCCCAUUCAACUAAAUACAUCAUACAGAAACAUCAGAACUAGGAAGAAUCACCAUGGACAAAUAAUAUUAAGGCAGAGUUGAGGAAAUCACCCAUAUCUGAGUUCAUUAGAAUGAAGAAUUAAAGUACUUUUCCAGCUUGUCACCAGGGACUCACUAACAAGCCACAAGAACCCAGUUUUCUAGCCCUGCUUACAAGUGCUGAUUGCCACCAGAGACUAAGGUCAAAUGCCAGAAGCCACAAACUCCAAACAAGCCUCCAUGACCCAAUUUUUGACUGGUUUGAUCCAGUUCAGACUCUGUGCUAACCCUCCAGAUGACCGUGGGAUUAUUACCACCUGCAGUAAAACCUUGGAUCUCGAGUAACUUGUUCUGCAAGUGUUCCACAACAUGAGCAAACAUUUCUAAUAAAUUUUAACUUGAUAAACGAGCA
rnacentral:lncRNA from 1 species